ACUAGUAUUGGUUAUAUAUGACUGGUGAAUGUUUGGUAUUUAGUCCCUACACUAAAGGCUCUUGGGAGCAGAGCUCUGCUGUUAGUAAAACUUCAGAAUCUGAACAGGAAAGCUGUCUUGAGCCUGUUGACUGGGCUGGGACCUUUCUAAUCAUGGCUUACACAUUAACAACCUGGGACAACCCCUGGGGCCCUGAGAAGGGAGAACAGCAGGAAGUCAGUAGCUUUCAUUUUCUUAGAGAACCACCCAGGACAGGAACAGACAAAGCCAGCCUAGAAAGAGGUCCUUUCACUUUCAAGCUUAUUCUGGGCAUUGGAAGCUAAAGUGAACUCAAGAGGGUUGUUUUUUGUUUUGUUUAGUUUUUUUUUUUUUUUUUUGGUGCAAAUGAACAAGCAAUGUUUCUUAAAACCAAUUAAACAUACCUGGGAUUGGAAAUGAUUGCAAAGGAUGGUUUUCUCAUUUCAAAUCAGGGUUUAAGGUUCAUUUGUGAGAAAUCAAUGUAACCACAUUUAUCCUUGGCCUAGUAAUGCAAAAAAUGUAGUUACAGUAAAGUGAUUUUAGUCUUUUGAAACGGUGGGUAACAUGAACAAUUCUGACAGGAUGGAAAUUUCAGGCUAAGUGUAUGAAAUUGAAAUUCAAUAAUGAUGUGGAUUUUUGGGGAGAAGGUGUAUUUCAUCCAACAACAUGUAGGUAAUUUAUGUGAAAAAAAUGUAAUUGUGUUCCAGUAAAUGAUGUGACCCUGAAAUUUUCAUGGGCUGAGUUUGAUCAGAUUUUCACAACCCAGCACAUUUUCACCUCUAGUUAAAUAGUUCCAAAGGAAGAAGGACUGUGUUGAUGACAGCAGGCCUUGCAAAAACCAGCCCCAGCAAAGCAAUCCCCUUCUGUUUUCCUCCUUUCAAGAGAGGGCAUCAAGCGUUCAUUUGAAAUUUUUCUCUUAAUCUGUUUUCCAUUGAUGGCAGCAACUGAGAAAAGUUUUCAACCAGGAAAAGUCAAGCUAAGUCAAACCACUUUUGCACGCAACAAGCAUACAAAUUGGCUACUUUUUAAAAAUAAGAACUUAACCAUAUGCUUUGAAUUUCAAAGUGGGAUUACAUACUAACAGGCUGCAUUAUCCUUAAAUCACUUUAUGAGUGUGUGUAUUUGUUUGUGUGUCUGUAUGUGUGUAUCUCUCUUUUCUCAAUACCCCGCCUCAAGGAUGAUCCUUGGAUAGGGCCAGUUCGACAAAUGACUCAUGACUCCCACAGGUUGCAUCUCUUAUGGACACUGGAGAGAUUGGUUUGCUGUAAACAGGCUCUAUGGAGUCCUAGAAAGCACAGAUUUCAAUCAAGAAGCAGUGUCCAUUGGAAUUCUCAGGUUGAGGGAGAGUUGGGGAAAUAACCAAACUUGAGUGUCAUCCUGUUUCUUUUCCUUACAAUUGCUCCAGUGUUUCUGGUCAUAUGCAUUCUCUGGACCUUUGGAGAAGUGGUCCUGGGAACAGAUGGGAAUGGUGGAAAGAAGAAAGUGGUGACCUAUCUACACACAGAAGGGUCACAGCCUUUGGCUAACUGCUAGUUGACAUAGUGAGUGUGUGUCUGGCUUUAUUGGGCAAAAAUGGAGGGGAAUCGCUGUCAACAAUGCUAUCUACAUGUAAAUAGGGCAUUUAUGUACUCUAUUCUAAAUCUUAAAAAAUUUCUUUUCCAUGCAUAGAAAAAAAUAGUUGAAUUUCUGGAACACUUUUUCAUUAGAAUGCCUGUCACAUUCUAUCAUUAAGAAUUUUUUUUUUUUUUUUAAAUUUAUUUUUCUUUUGUUUAUGGAAUACAACUUCAUGCAUUUAAUACACAUAGAUUUGGGAACAUGAUGCUUUUUUUUUUUUUUUGACAGGCAGAGUGGACAGUGAGAGAGAGAGACAGAGAGAAAGGUCUUCCUUUGCCAUUGGUUCACCCUCCAAUGGCCACUGUGGCCGGCGCACCACGCUGAUCCGAAGCCAGGAGCCAGGUGCUUCUCCUGGUCUCCCAUGUGGGUGUAGGGCCCAAGGACUUGGUCCAUCCUCCUCUGCACUCCAUGGCCACAGCAGAGAGCUGGACUGGAAGAGGAGCAACCGGGACAGAAUCCGGCACUCCGACCGGGACUAGAACCCGGUGUGCCGGCGCCGCAGGUGGAGGAUUAGCCUAUUGAGCCGUGGCGCCAGCCCACAUGAUGCUUCUUUACCUCCUCUUUCUCCCCCCAUCCAUACUUCUACCUUUCUUCCUCCUCCCUCUUCCUUUCUCAUUCUUAUUUUUUAUAGAGCUAAAUUAGAAUUUUGGAUUAAAAGGAACAACCAACAAUUCUGACAAAAAUUGUAACAGUGAACUCAUAAGAUGUAACCUAUUAUUGCAUCAUGCCUGGAUUCAGACAGAAAUUUUGAUUCUUACAUUUUUAAAAAGAUUUAUUUAUUUGAAAGGCAGAAUUACAGAGAGAGAGGGAGAGACACACAGAGAAACAGAGAUCUUCCAUCUAUUAGCUCACUCUGCAAAUGGCCACCAUGGCCAGGGAUGGACCAGGAUGAAGCCAGGAGCCAGGAACUGCAUCCAGGUCUCCCAUGUGGGUACAGGGACCAAGUAGAUUAGCUGGAUCGGAAGUGGAGCAGCUAGGACUCGAACUGAUGCCCAUGUGGGAUGCCAGCACUGCAGAUGGUGACUUAAUACACUACACCAUAGCACUGGACCAGAUUCUAACGUUUUUUUUAAAAAAUGAAAGCAGAAAGCAUAAAUGGUUUGACUCUCUGUGGCUUAUAUAGCAACUUGUAUUGCUCAAUAGCUUAUCAUACUGUACUAGUAUUUCAUGAUUUCUGAUUUCAUAUUUCACCUUGCAGCACACAUUAAAAUUAACAUAUUUGUACCAAUAUUGAGAUAAUUAGAUUGUCCACAACUAGGAGCAAUUUUUCUAAGGCUCCAGUUGUCCAGGCCCUACGGAUCUCCCUAGUGCUCAGCUUACUUACUACAACUUAUCUUUGCAGAGAGAAUGGCUUUUCAUGUCUUUUUGUACACUCAGUGUCCCUCUUCUAUAUACUAACACAUGGUGCAAAACUCUGACAGCUGAGCAACGCUUUGUGAACAGAUUAAGAGUGUCAUUGUGAAGGGACUUGGAUUGACUUGAUACCACCUUGAUCUCCAUCUAGGUGAGGUUCAUUUACACUGUAAUUGCUCACCUGCCACAUCUGAUCUUCCUUUUCCCUGCCUGCUGUGUGUGUGCUGCCUUAGAAAGGGCAACAUCACUGCAGUUCCUCUAGCAUCAUGAAGUCUCCUGAUAUGUCAAUUUCAAGAGACAAUGAACUAUAGAAUGACUUUUCUUCCUAUAUUGCAAUUUCUCUUUUACAAUGGUAAAAAUUGUAAAAGCAUGGAUAAGCAGAAAUGCAAUUAAGUACAACAUGUUCCAAACAUCUAAUAUUGUGGAACUUGGGCAGAAAAUCCCCAGAUUUUGAUUCUAUUUCAGUCAAGACAGGUUAUAAAACCAGGAUUCAUUUGUCAUUAAAUUGCAUGUUCAUCAGGUCUGGCAAGAAGAUUCUCUUUAUCAUAGACAUUCAGGAACCCAGGAGGAUGGAGGCUGCAACUUAACAUGUGCUUUCACAGUGCAGGAGUAAGGAAAAAGGUGUCAAACCACAUGCUGAUCCUUAAAGCUUCUGACAAGGUUGAACACAUAUUUCUUCCACUCACAUUUCAUUGGCUAAAUAAGUCAUAUGGCUAUGACUGAGUUCUUUUGCAGGCAGAGACACCAAAUAUUUGUGAACAAUAAUUUAGUAUAUCUCUGGCUUUACGGUCUCAUUAGGAGGAAAAAGGCAUUUGUUCAUUCAGCAAAGAUUUUCAAACAGUUACUAUAUGUCAGAAUCCUUUGAGCUUGUAACCUACCAAAAAAACAAAGCAUGCAAUGCUCCUGCCAUCAUAGUUUGUAUUCCUGUGAAAAUACAAAGAAAAUACACAAUAAAUGUAAUGUAAAGUAAAUAUAUAUUUCAUUAGGAGGUGAAUUCUAUGGAAAGAAGAAAUUGUACAAGAUUAGACUGAAGGAAUGGGAGCUUACGCCUGGAUAUAUCUGAGGAAAAGGGGUGGUAAUUUGAGAUAUAGCUGUCAGCAAGUGAGGACUCACUAUAAAAGUAAAGUUUGAGCAAACGCUUGAUGUAAGUCAGGAAGCCUCACUGCAGAUGCAAUGAAAUGGGGCCUCCUGUUUCUGUACUUUGAUUGAGUUACACAUUCACUGGUGGGUUUUGAAAAGAAAAGUGAUGUGACUCAUGAUGUGACUUUUGUUUUCAGAAGCAACUAGUUGGGUUCAGGAUGAAGACAAAGACACCCAUUGGAAAGCUACUUCAGGAGCCCAGAAUAGGAGCUAAGACCAGAGGGCAAAGCUGUGUCCAGCAUGAAUAGAAGUCCUGCACAUCCCCGGGGAACUCACUUCUCUUUUUCUCUUCCCUGCCUUAGCAUUUUACUAGGUAAGAAGCACUCUUCCUUUCUUGAGUUCAUGUAAAUUUAUUUGGAAUUACUUACCCCAUCCUGAAAGCUGUUCCUUAUCUGCCUGUUUUUAAUUUGCUGGAAAUUUUAGAAAAGAUGAUUUAUGGAUGUGUCAAAUAACUCACGUUUGAAGUAACUUAAAUAUCAGCUUCAUUUGUUCUGAAUAUUUCAAAUAUGGAACAAAAUAUUUUGUCAUUAGAGUUUACAGAGGCUUUAGUAGGAACUAAAUACGCACUUUUUACCUGUCACAGCAUUCUAAUUGCUCAAGUGUUCUCAUGAGAUGACUAAUAUUUCAACCUCUCUCCUUUCUUCCUCCCUUUCUCACUGCACCCUUCCUCUCUUUGUCCCUUUCUUUUGUAUAGUCAAGAAUAUUUAAAGAUUCAUGGAAAAACAGAUGAUUUAACCAGAUGAUCAAGAGAGAUUGGGAAAUAAAGAUUAAGGAUGUGUGAGUUAGAAAGUGGUAGAUGUGCUUAUUGGAGUGCAAAGGAAGGGUGAAGAUUCUGUACUAAGUGCUAGUGGUCCCUAUUACAAGAAAGAGCAACCAGUAUAAAGAGUACUCCACUAAACCACAAAGCUAAUGGGACAGAAUUUGGUCUCUUGACACCAUCCUAUGUUAUUAGGUGCCAAUACUCAAACAAUGUUGCAUGAAUGGGCUAGCUCUAAUAACAGGAAAGGAGGCUACACAUUAAUCCAAAAAUAUGUGUUCCCAGUCCCCAACUCUAAUCUGGCCAUUGGCCUGGGCAAAUAUCAUCUACCAGCAAAGGAGAUAAAUGAUAACUCUCCAUCUCCACCCAGGUAUGGCAUUAACCCUUAAGACCACUUGGUAAAGAGCCUUCCCUGGAUUUUGUUACCCUAUAAAAGUCACUAAUUCAUUUUAGUAGGAAAUGAUGUGUAUUUCUGGGUUCAGUUUGCUUUUCUUACAGGGAUUCAGCUUGCAUAACUUUUUAAAGACUUAGUGAUAAAUCCAACAACAUGGCAUUUAAUGUAACAUUCCAUCAAACCACGUGACCCACUUUACAGGAAAGUAGAUCCAAGAGUGGUGACCAUAUGCUCCACUGAUUCUAUCAUAGUCUGCUCCUUCCAGAACCUUCUAGACCAAUGGAUUGAUGGAAAAGCCUAUUGAAGACACAGGUUAGCUCGGGGUGUUAUCUUGUAAGUAUUGUAUACAUCCUUUCAGAAUUAAUAUGCAUACCAGAUAAACAGCAAUUAUGUAGUAUUGUGUACCCAACAGGUAAAAUACAUGGGAACCGAGAUGGGAGCUAUACCAGCCUCAAUUACCAUCAAGUCACUUGACCCACUUGGGGAUUUGGCAUCUAGGCUCUGUGGAUUUAGAUGUUCUUUCUGAUGCCUGAAGGAGAUAAGCUUCUACCAUGGAAUAAGCAUGCAUCAAAUGGAAUAUUAAGCUAUUGCUGGAAACUUCACCUGGAAACCUCAGACUCCUCAUGCCACAAGACCAGGAGGAAUGAAGAAGAAAUGUGAUCUUGUGAGGGUUAAUAAGCACUAAUCUUUGGAAGCAUUUGGGCUACUCUUACACAAUGGGUAGUCUAUUUAUGUUUAAGGUUAUCAUUGAUAAGUAGUGAUUGGGUCCUAUUGUUUGUUUGUUAAUAUACCUAUUGUUUGUUUUGAAUCUCCCUUUUCUUUUACUAGCAGGUUUUCCACCUUCACAUUCUUUCCUGAUGGUGAUUGUCUUUCUCUGUUUCACUGUGUAAGUAUCAUUUGUAAGGCUGACCAGUUGGUGGCAAAUUCUUUCAAUUUUUACUUGUCUUGAAAGGUCUUUAUUUCACCUUCAUUUAUGAAUGAGAAUUUCACUGGGUUAAGUAGUCCAGGUUGGCAGUUUGUCUCUUAGAACUUGGACUAUAUCUCUUCAUUUUCUUCCUGCCUGUAAGGUUUGUUGUGAGAACUCUGCUGUCAAUCUUGUGGGCAUUCCUUUAAAAGUGAACUGGUGUUUCUGUCUUGUGAAUUUUAGUGUAUCCCCUUUAUGUUUGACUUUUAAAAGUUUAACUAUAAUGUGUCAUGGUAAGGAUCUUUUCUGAUCAUGCCUAUUUGGGCUUCUAUGCACUUCUUGUAUUCGGAUGUCCAUACUUUUCUCCAAAUUAGGGAAACUUUCUGCUAUUAUUUCAUUGAAUAGGUUUUCUAAGUCAUUCUACUUUUUUUUUCCUAUUCUUUCAGGAACCCCUAAGACUCACAUAUUUGAUUAUUCGAUAGUAUCCCUUAGAUCCUGAAUACUGUUUUCAUUCUUUCUAAAUUUUCUUCUUUUUUUUUGUCUGAGAUAUUUCAAAAGAACUGUUUUUUAUGUCAGAUUUUUUUUCUGCCUCACCAAGUCUGUUGUUAAGGCUUUCCACUAUAUUUUGUAUUUGACUUAUUGAAUACAUCAUUUCUAAUAUUUCUGUUGUUUUUUCAAUAUUCCUGUCUCUUUGCUAAAUUUUUCAUCCAUGUCAAGCACUCAUAUCCAAUUUAAUUUAACUGGUUUUUUUUGUAUUUUUUUAGUAACCUUACAGUUAUUCUUUUGGAUUCUUUUUCAGACAUUUUAUUAAUCUUCCCUUCCUCAGAGUACAAUAUUAAUAUACAAUUGUGGUUUUUUUGUUCAUGUUCCUUGUGUUUGUUGGUUUUUGUGCAUCUGGGGAAUCUCUUGUUUCUCUCUCUUCUGGGAAAUUUCUUUUUUGUGUUUUAAUUAAAGGCAUUAUUCCUGGAGAUAUGUCUCUAGAGCUCAGUGGAGUGCUUAGGGCUUACACUUAAGCUCCAGAUAUGUACUGGGUAGAGCUGGAGAACUUCUGCCACCAUUUGUGGGUGGGGCAAGAGUCCAGAGUGACUUCAAUAUAAGCAUGGUGGAGCAUCUCUGGCUACGAGUCAGUGGCCAUCGGCGAUUUUUGAGCCAACUGCUGACACAAAGUCUUCACUUUUCUCUUUGCUUGGGUGAUUCACAGCCCAAAGUGAUUCCACAACAUGAGUUAGAGUCCACCCACUCAGGGUGUGCACUGUAUGAAGCACAGAGUCACUCCAUAGUGUGUUCCUUUACCACUGUGAGAUCUAGUUCCAGUGUGCAGGGAGUUCUGAAUUUCUACAGUCAGGUUGGGUGGUUGUGAUAUCUGAAUUUGACCCCUUAAAAUAUAAAAAAAAAAUGUGGCCCCUUAUAGUUCCCCAAAAGUCCCAUCUGGGGUGCCACAUGUGUUAUCGGAAUUUGGGGUACCAUACGAUAUCACCAUAUGCUUAUUAAUAAGUUCUCAAUAUAAAAAAGCCUAUGUGGGUUCUUGCCUAAUAUUCAGAGAAUUCUGAAUACCGGCAUAAAUAAAUGAGGCAGCAUGGUACAUUUUAAGCUUUUAUUGAGUACAAAAGAUGCUUAGGAGAGUGAGGGCUUUAUCUAUAAGAGAGAGGUAGAUCUGGGUUCACACCAAGUACCAGGAACCAGCCAUGUGGAAGAGAAUCUAGGCCAGGAAGCAUGGAGUGGGUGGCCCAAGGCCAGGUGCCCUGGAGACGCAGGGUUACAGCCAGCCCCCUACUGGCAAGAGGCCAGGGCGAAGAAAGGGGGAAAGGGCUGGACACACCCUGUCCCAAGCUUUUAAUCCACUUUCAAAGGAGAGUGAUUAAUUAAUCUGAUUGGCUGGUGGACACUAGGUGUGGCCAGGUAGGGGCAUGAGGUCACACAGGCAUGGUCUUCUAGCUCAAAAACCUAAUAAAUUUUAAUCUGUAUGCCUGUCUACUUCAGUUGCACAAGAACCCAGCUAUACCCAUGACUUGCCAAGCUUCAUGACUGCCCAGAACUCCCACAGAUAUAGGGGCUCUGCUCUCUGUCCUAUAAACUGCCUGGUCUCUAUCUACAGUAGCCCCUGACAUCAGCAGGAAGGUCUUCCAUCUCUUGAGUCAGAAAAUAGUCCAGCAGUGGCUCAACCAUAGCAAACUAUGCCUGGCAAUUUGGUUCAGGGAGACAAGGGAGGUGAUGCAGCUUCCCUUUUUUGAGUAAAGUAGUCACUUAGACCUCUGUUAGCUCCCCAGGCUGGAUGUGAAGUCAGAGGGGACUCUGGAGUUCUUCCUCAAUUAAAGCUGGGGGCGGUAGGGACUGCAGCACCUUCUUUCUAUCUUCUCUUGGCAAGAGGCAUUUCCCAGCUAGGUGCUGGUAGCAUAGAUGCAGGAGCGGCUGGAAGUGCAGCCAACAGUGCUGUGUGCCUUCUUUCUUUACUUCCCCAUGGAGACUCUGUUCUGUUCUGUUACUUUUCCACUAAAAAAUUCUGUCAAUCAGUCCCCUGGAAAUGUGGUCUUUCCUUCUUUUUUCUGGUAUCUUUCUGUGGCUGAGGUUAGUGUAGCUUCUCAUUAUUCAACCAUCCGCAAUGCCAGCUUUGUGAUUUAAACACUCUAGUACUUCAUGCCCAAAUGAUCCAAAUGCAAAAUGCCUUUCAUUUUCUAUUCCUUUUAAAAAAAAUAAAAAGGAAGAUGGUCAAGACUUCAGUUUAUGUUCUAUUUAUACUUAAUUCAAAUGGGUUAUUAUUGUAGACUAAAAAGAUAUCUGGAGGAAAAAAAUUUUAACUAGAGUGCAAAUUUUACCUAGUAAAAGUUUUUUUUUAAUUUUCCCUCAGAGAACACCUACUUUUCUGCUUGAAUGUGUUAUAUGCCAUUCAAACUGAAGAAUAUGGAUGUGAGAAAAAUAUUUAAUUCAUUCCUCUCAUUUGCAUGUCUUCAGGGCUUUUAUACUAACACUUAGUUGUGAUGCCAACAAACACCAAUUUUGAAGAUUCCAAAGGUCUCUCUUUCUUCCAAACAGUCUCCUUCCUUUUGCAUGUUUAAAAAGUAAACCUGAAGGUAGCACUGCAAAAUUCCUUUAGCAAGAGCUCUGUUCCUUUACUAAUAAUAUGCUUUAUUUUAACUAAAUCCCAAGAGUUUGCCAGCUGUCUCCCCUUAUUGG